rnacentral:rRNA from 1 species
GACGAACGCUGGCGGCGUGCUUAACACAUGCAAGUCGAACGGAAAGGCCCUGCUUGCAGGGUGCUCGAGUGGCGAACGGGUGAGUAACACGUGGGUGAUCUGCCCCUUACUUUGGGAUAAGCCUGGGAAACUGGGUCUAAUACUGGAUAGGACCAUGCUGUAGGUGGUGUGGUGGAAAGAUUAGUUUCGGUAAGGGAUGAGCUCGCGGCCUAUCAGCUUGUUGGUGGGGUAAUGGCCUACCAAGGCGUCGACGGGUAGCCGGCCUGAGAGGGUGGACGGCCACAUUGGGACUGAGAUACGGCCCAGACUCCAACGGGAGGCAGCAGUGGGGGAUAUUGCACAAUGGGCGCAAGCCGGAUGCAGCGACGCCGCGUGGGGGAUGACGGCCUUCGGGUUGUAAACUCCUUUCAGCCAUGACGAAGCCCUUGUGGUGACGGUAGUGGUAGAAGAAGCACCGGCUAACUACGUG